rnacentral:piRNA from 1 species
ACGCUGUCAGAAGGAGAAUGUCU